GCAGCGUUAUCCGGAAUCGUUGGGCGUAAAGCGCCUGUAGGUUGUUUAAUAAGUCUGUUGUUAAAGACUGGGGCUUAACCCCAGGAAAGCAAUGGAAACUACUAGACUAGAGUAUGGUAGGGGUAAAGGGAAUUUCUAGUGUAGCGGUGAAAUGCGUAGAUAUUAGAAAGAACACCGGUGGCGAAAGCGCUUUACUGGACCAUUACUGACACUCAGAGGCGAAAGCUAGGGUAGCCAAAGGGAUUAGAUACCCCUGUAGUCCUAGCCGUAAACGAUGGAUACUAGAUGUUGCGCUUAUUGUGCAGUGUCGUAGCUAACGCGUUAAGUAUCCCGCCUGGGGAGUACGAUCGCAAGGUUGAAACUCAAAGGAAUUGACGGGGGCCCGCACAAGCGGUGGAGCAUGUGGUUUAAUUCGAUGCAACGCGGAGAACCUUACCAGGGCUUGACAUACUGCAAAUUUUCUUGAAAGAGAAAAGUGCCUUCGGGAAUGCAGAUACAGGUGGUGCAUGGCUGUCGUCAGCUCGUGUCGUGAGAUGUUGGGUUAAGUCCCGCAACGAGCGCAACCCUCGUUUUUAGUUGCCAUUUUAUGGGUUCUCUAGAAAGACUGCCGGUGACAAACCGGAGGAAGGUGGGGAUGACGUCAAGUCAGCAUGCCCCUUAUGCCCUGGGCUACACACGUGCUACAAUGGCUAAGACAAAGAGUCGCGAAUUCGCGAGAAUCAGCUAAUCUCAUAAACUUAGUCUAAGAUCAGAUUGUAGGCUGCAAC
rnacentral:rRNA from 1 species